GACGAACGCUGGCGGCGUGCUUAACACAUGCAAGUCGAACGGAAAGGCCCUUCUUGCAGUGUACUCGAGUGGCGAACGGGUGAGUAACACGUUGGUGAUCUGCCCUUCACUUCGGGUUAAGCCUGGUAAACUGGUUCUAAUACCGGAUAGGAGCCAUUUUUAGUGUUAUGGUUGGAAAGUUUUUUCGGUGUAGGAUGAGGUCGCUGCCUAUCAGCUUGUUGGUGGGUUAAUGGCCUACCAAGGCGGCGACGGGUAGCCGGCCUGAGAGGGUGGACGGCCACAUGGGGACUGAGAGAGGGCACAGACUACAACGGGAGGCAGCAGUGGGGAAUAGUGCACAAUGGGAGCAAGCCUGAGGAAGAGACGGAGCGUGGGGGAUGACGGCCUUCGGGUUGUAAAAUCAUGUCGAUAGGGACGAAGAUUUUGUGACGGUACCUAGAUAAGAAGCACCGGCUAACUACGUG
rnacentral:rRNA from 1 species